rnacentral:lncRNA from 1 species
AGAAGUAGUCCUAUGAGAUUUAAGAAGCUGAGUCUUUAAGUCUAUGGCCAUAGUAGUAUGAUUAAUGAAAAAAAUUUUUAUAAGAAUCACAUAUGGACUCGAGCUGAUUGAAUAUAUCAUAUGAUCGAUGAUGAGGUUCGAUGAUUUAUCUAUGAUCUGCCAUCUAGUCGAGACACACGAUAGAGGGACUGUAUCAUACAUUAACUGCACCU